rnacentral:rRNA from 1 species
AUGCACUCAUCUCAAGCCAUGGCGCAACAAGAACUAGAUGUCACGUACUACUACAAUUACCUCUUCAUGGCCACCGUCCUGCUACUCCCCAUCCUCCUCAUGGCCAUGUUCAGACCGCCGCGCAAGCACGACGGCGAGAACCUUCCCCCGGGGCCAUGGCGGCUGCCGGUCAUCGGCAGCAUGCACCACCUCGUCGGCGCGCUCCCGCACCACGCCAUGCGUGACCUCGCCCGCCGUUACAAUGCUCCUCUCAUGCUGCUCCGCCUAGGGGAGGUCGACGUCGUUGUGGCCUCGUCCGCCAGCACGGCGAAGGAGAUCAUGAAGACCCACGACGCAACAUUUGCCACGCGGCCGCGGACCGCCACCCUCCGUGCCAUCACGAGAGACGACCUCGGCAUCUCCCUUGCACCACACGGCGAGCACUGGCGACGCCUCAAAAAGCUCUGUGUCACCGAGCUACUAAGCACGCGGCAAGUCCGAUCCCUCCGGGGAUGCCGCGAGGCCAAUGCCGCCGCCCUAGUCUCCUCCAUCGUCUCGUCGCUAUCGUCCUCGUCGGAGCCCGUGAACGUCAGCUCCCUCCUCAGCACCCACGUCACCAACUUUGCGGUGCACGCCGUGGUGGGCAACCGGAACGGGGACCUCCGCGAUGAGUUCCUGAAGGUCCUCGAUGAGGGCGUCAAGCUGGCUGCCGGGUUCAGCCUUGCCGACCUGUUCCCAUCGUCGCGCCUCGCACGUGUGUUUAGUGGCUCGACGCGUCGGCUGGAGGAGAUAAGCCACGAGUUAAGCCAGGUCAUAGACGGCAUCAUCGAGGACCAUCGCACGAGGAGGUCGGCCGGUGCCGGCGACGAGGAAGAAGACCUCGUGGACGUGCUGCUGAGGGUCCAGAAUGACGGUAGCCUCCACGUGCCUCUUGACGUUGGAAACAUGCGUGCCGUGAUUACCGAUAUGUUUUCGGGGGGAAGCGAGACCUCGGCGACGACACUCGAGUGGGCGAUGGCGGAGCUCAUGCGAAGCCCGGUGGCACUACGAAGGGUGCAGGCAGAGGUGCGUGGUGCUCUCAUGGGAGAGAGUUGCGUCGGUGAGGAUGCGCUGAAGGAGCUGCACUAUCUGCAUCUAGUAAUCAAAGAGACACUUCGACUACACCCGGUGGUGCCACUCCUCCCCCGGGAGUGCCAGGGACCCUGUCGCAUCCUCGGCUACGACGUGCCGAAGGGAGCCAUGGUGUUUGUCAACGUAUGGGCGAUCGGGCGGGAUUCUGCGAGCUGGGGCACCGAUGCGGAGGAGUUCAGGCCGGAGAGGUUCGAGGAGGCUGCUGACGCGGCGGUGGACUUCAGGGGAACGAACUUUGAGCUCGUGCCAUUCGGUGCUGGCCGGAGGAUGUGCCCUGGGAUCACGUUUGGGCUGGCGGUCUUGGAGCUCAUGCUAGCGAGCCUGUUGUUCCAUUUCGAUUGGGAGCUCCCUGGAGGAGGCGCCGGUCGGCUGGACAUGGUGGAGGAGCUCGGGAUGACGGCGAGGAGGAAGGGCGACCUGUUGCUGCAUGCCUCCGUUCGUGUGCCUGCUCCUAAUCCAUGA